rnacentral:rRNA from 1 species
GACGAACGCUGGCGGCGGGCUUAACACAUGCAAGUCGAACGGAAAGGCCCUGCUUUUGUGGGGUGCUCGAGUGGCGAACGGGUGAGUAACACGUGAGUAACCUGCCCUUGACUUUGGGAUAACUUCAGGAAACUGGGGCUAAUACCGGAUAGGAGCUCCUGCUGCAUGGGGGGGGUUGGAAAGUUUCGGCGGUUGGGGAUGGACUCGCGGCUUAUCAGCUUGUUGGUGGGGUAGUGGCUUACCAAGGCUUUGACGGGUAGCCGGCCUGAGAGGGUGACCGGCCACAGUGGGACUGAGAUACGGCCCAGACUCCUACGGGAGGCAGUAGUGGGGAAUAUUGCACAAUGGGCGGAAGCCUGAUGCAGAAACGCCGCGUGCGGGAUGACGGCCUUCGGUUUGUAAACCGCUUUCGCCUGUGACGAAGCGUGAGUGACGGUAACGGGUAAAGAAGCACCGGCUAACUACGUG